rnacentral:rRNA from 3 species
UGAGUCAUCCCUGACCCCUUGAGGGUCCUAAAGGGCCGUUGGAGACCACAACGUUGAUAGGUGGGGUGUGUAAGCGUAGCGAUACGUUGAGCUAACCCAUACUAAUUACCCGUGAGGCUUAACCAU